AUGGUUAUACCUCUGGUGGUCUCAGCACUUCCAUGGAAAGAGCCCCAGAAGCAGCCAGGACCUGGCACUGCAAUUUUGCUCUUCUCCCUGCUCUUCCUGCUCCUAAUGAGCCCUUGCUUCUUGGGGCACAUCCCCUCUCCUGCACCCUUACUCUUUUUCUGCCUCCCAUUAAUGCUUCUCUGUGCACAGUUUUCUACAUUUGGAAACCACUUGCAUUUCUCCCACAUGAUGUCCCACCCCAGCAUGGGCACACAGCUGAUACCUGAAGCAGGAAGUGGGUGGAGAGGACAGUCUGAGCCCCUCAGACAUGGGACAGACCCUGAUCUGCCUCCUGCUCACCUCCCAGGAAGAGUAGCACACCCUAGGCCAUCAUGCAGGGUCUGUUCGGAGUGCUACAGGAGCCCAGAUCCCCUGUGCCAGAGCUGUCACCCUGAGUGGGAGGACAGCUCUGUACCCCACCUGCCCCAAACGGCUUAUUUGGAGACCACUGGCCCGUGUCUACCACAGCCCAUUUACACAGUGCAGACACCCUGGGCUCAUUAUGGAUCAUUGGAGAACAUCUGGGACCUCCGCACAUGGCACAGACCAGGGAUCUUUUCUCCCACAACUCCCAGUGUCUCCAGACACCCUUCUGAGACCACAUCACCCUUUGCCACUUCAGCAGGGAUGAAAUGCUGUGGGGUGGGGCAGAGGGAGCACAAAGCGGGGUGCCCAGGCCUGCCACCGCCUGACGGUGUCAGGCUGCCCCUCCUGACUCACUGCCCGCAGCAGUACCGCAGUGUGAGGUCACCAUGGACGUGGCCUGGGCCUGCUGCCAGCUGCUGCCACGUGUGCAGGAAGUCCCUGGCACCGCCGGCCUGCAGGCCUGGGCUCGGCUGUGCCGCCAUUUCCCUGCGUGGCGGCUCAGCAGGGACGGGCUGGGCCCAGAGGGACAUGGGCUCUUUCAUCUGGAGGCUGUGCUGGCUGAGCAUGCUGCUCUGUGCCUGCUGGGACCCAGUUUGCUUUCACAGAGACAUCUCACACUGCUGUGGGUCACUUUCAAAGAGGGGUGAGGGGACAACGAGCCCUGUGACACUUCCCCAGUGCACAGCUCGGCCCUGUGCGGAGCACAACUUCCUCCUGCCUUUCCUUCUCCAGGCACAGGGGUGCCUUAUCUCAUCCUCACCAGAGAGCGGGAAAAAAGGAGAGGACCAGCCCAACCACACACUGCCUUCUGAUUGAAAGCCACAUUCCAGAAAAAAAAACCCGACAGACUAUCUCAUUCCCCGCUGCUGUCUGGCAGGUGGAGAAAGAACAGGAAAACACUGGGAACUCAGGAAAAAAACAAAAGGUUAGGAAAUGUGAGUGUCUUUCCUUUUAUUUUUUCCUACUCUAGCAAUGUUCAACUGGAAUUGAGAGUUGCCAUCAACAGCUUUCUGACCACUCCUGGCUGCAGUUGUGAGACACGCCUUUCCAACCACAGGGAACAGUAUGAGCACUUAUUUAUUUGCUUAUAGACUUUAUAUGUCUGACUGAUAUCUGGCAGAUGAUCACGGACUGUAAACUAACACAUUUGUUUCAGAGUCACACACAGCUCAGCUGUUGAAAUAUUCCUGACUUCCCUCCUCCCCCAGAGCCCAGCGUAUCCCAUGAGAGAUUGCUCACCCACAGCAUUCAGGGAAGCCUGGUGGUGGGACCAGCUCCUGCAGUGCUUCCACCUUUGGGAAGGGUUUGCUUCAGCUGUGUGGAUGACAUGAGCAUCACAGAGAUGGAGGAAGUCUGGCAAACUUUUCUAUAAAAUGAACAGUAAUACAUACAGUGAUUCACUUUAGUGAUCUAGGUGAGAGCCAACAAAGCCUCACAUCUCAAACAGACACAAACCACCUCCUUCCCCCAUUUCUCUUGUCCUUCAUGGCUUAUUUUCUUUUUGGAUGCUCUGGCCAUAAACUGUUUGGGAUGGACUGUCUCCUGCUCUGUGCCUCAUGUUACCCCUCUCCCCGCCCCACAGAAACCAGAAGCAUACAUAUUUUCUUAUUUUUUUCAUGCAAUUUUUCCAAUUCCCUGUAGGAUCCGAGAGAAAGAAACUCAUGUAUGUUGUUUUAUGUCCAAGUUACAGCCAAUACACCAAGCUGAAGCUCUGAAUGCUGCGGUGCUCAAAACCCUGUCUGUGCUCUCAGGAUAAUGGACACAAGACAGUGCUUUCUCAGAAACGAGCAUCCCACCCAUCAUCAUUGGAGAAGCCUUGGGAAGGCCAGAGGUGAUGGCAGACCAGCCCUUUCUUUCUCCAAGUCUAGGGACUCUGGAGAUGAGGGUGGUGGAGAGCCUGUGAUAAUAGAAAUCGAGAUAGCUUUGUGAUGUUCUGUUAUAAAGAUUCGCGCUCCCCCUCCUCUCCACAUAGGUAACAGGACCCGGCGUUCCAACCCUUCAGAGCUGUCUUGAUUCCCCUUUGCCAAGGGAGGUCUGGGAGACAUCAGUGGGCAAGGGGCUCUGUGCCUGAGUGCCGAGAGGAGGUGUUGUGGAGGCAGAAGGCAGAUCUGUUUGGAAGCACUUGCAAAACAGCCCCCAGAUUUGCUGACAGCCACUGCUAAAGUAUGACCCUUCCCACAUAGCGCUCCAGAACAGGGCCCUUCUC
rnacentral:lncRNA from 1 species